UACGUAGGGGGCAAGCGUUGUUCGGAAUUACUGGGCGUAAAGGGCUCGUAGGUGGCCAACUAAGUCAGACGUGAAAUCCCUCAGCUUAACUGGGGAACUGCGUCUGAUACUGGAUGGCUUGAGAUUGGGAGAGGGAUGCGGAAUUCCAGGUGUAGCGGUGAAAUGCGUAGAUAUCUGGAGGAACACCGGUGGCGAAGGCGGCAUCCUGGACCAACACUGACACUGAGGAGCGAAAGCCAGGGGAGCAAACGGG
rnacentral:rRNA from 1 species